GUGGGUCCCCCCGUGGCGUCCUUUUCGGGAAGUGCAUCUAGAAGCCGGCUUUAUGACCAAUGUAUCCGCUUAUUAUUACUUUGUGCAAAUUGAGCAUGUCGCAAUGGAUGAGGCAAUGAAUAAAGAAAGCGGUAUCUA
ensembl:ncRNA F35D2.13 ncRNA